rnacentral:rRNA from 1 species
GAGUUUGAUCCUGGCUCAGGACGAACGCUGGCGGCGUGCUUAACACAUGCAAGUCGAGCGGGCGUAGCAAUACGUCAGCGGCAGACGGGUGAGUAACGCGUGGGAACGUACCUUUUGGUUCGGAACAACCCAGGGAAACUUGGGCUAAUACCGGAUAAGCCCUCACGGGGAAAGAUUUAUCGCCGAAAGAUCGGCCCGCGUCUGAUUAGCUAGUUGGUGAGGUAAUGGCCCACCAAGGCGACGAUCAGUAGCUGGUCUGAGAGGAUGAUCAGCCACAUUGGGACUGAGACACGGCCCAGACUCCUACGGGAGGCAGCAGUGGGGAAUAUUGCGCAAUGGGGGAAACCCUGACGCAGCGACGCCGCGUGCGGGAUGAAGGCCUUCGGGUUGUAAACCGCUUUCACCGGGACGAAGCGAGAGUGACGGUACCCGGGAAGAAGCGCCGGCUAACUACGUGCCAGCAGCCGCGGUAAUCUGAUGGCGCGA